UACGAAGGGGGCUAGCGUUGUUCGGAAUCACUGGGCGUAAAGGGCGCGUAGGCGGCUUUUCAAGUCGGGGGUGAAAGCCUGUGGCUCAACCACAGAAUUGCCUUCGAUACUGUUAGGCUUGAGACCGGAAGAGGUGAGUGGAACUGCGAGUGUAGAGGUGAAAUUCGUAGAUAUUCGCAAGAACACCAGUGGCGAAGGCGGCUCACUGGUCCGGUUCUGACGCUGAGGCACGAAAGCGUGGGGAGCAAACAGG
rnacentral:rRNA from 1 species